CGCGGGGUAACCUGGCGACGAGUGGCGAACGGGUGAGUAAAGCAUCGGAACGUGCCCAGUAGUGGGGGAUAGCCCGGCGAAAGCCGGAUUAAUACCGCAUACGACCUACGGGUGAAAGGGGGGGAUCGCAAGACCUCUCGCUAUUGGAGCGGCCGAUGUCGGAUUAGCUAGUUGGUGGGGUAAAGGCCUACCAAGGCGACGAUCUGUAGCUGGUCUGAGAGGACGACCAGCCACACUGGGACUGAGACACGGCCCAGACUCCUACGGGAGGCAGCAGUGGGGAAUUUUGGACAAUGGACGAAAGUCUGAUCCAGCCAUGCCGCGUGCGGGAAGAAGGCCUUCGGGUUGUAAACCGCUUUUGUCAGGGAAGAAAUCUUCUGGGUUAAUACCUCGGGAGGAUGACGGUACCUGAAGAAUAAGCACCAGCUAACUACGUGCCAGCAGCCGCGGUAAUACGUAGGGUGCAAGCGUUAAUCGGAAUUACUGGGCGUAAAGCGUGCGCAGGCGGUUAUGUAAGACAGAUGUGAAAUCCCCGGGCUCAACCUGAGAACUGCAUUUGUGACUGCAUAGCUUGAGUGCGGCAGAGGGGGAUGGAAUUCCGCGUGUAGCAGUGAAAUGCGU
rnacentral:rRNA from 1 species